rnacentral:lncRNA from 1 species
UUUUUUUUUUUAGGAGCAGGAGUAUGAUGAAGAAUAGAAGAAUUUCUGAUUGUUUACAUGACAUGCAAGUCCACCCAAUUCAGAAUUUGCAUUCUUCACAUUCAUCAGGCUUAAUGGAGAAAUCAAACUCCAUUUGUUCAAAUUCAGCAGAAUCGUAUCUCCCUGGAAUUUGCAAAGAAUUGAUUGGUUCAUCAGUAGAUUUUCUUGGACAGAGUUAUGAUGAAGAAGAAACAAUAGCAGAUAGCCUGA